UAAGUUAAUAAGGGCGCACGGUGGAUGCCUUGGCACUAGGAGCCGACGAAGGACGUGACAAACGACGAUAUGCCUUGGGUAGCUGUAAGUAAGCGAUGAUCCAGGGAUUUCCGAAUGGGGGAACCCAACAGGUAAUACCUGUUACCUACAUCUGUUAAGGAUGUGAGGAGGAAGACGCAGUGAACUGAAACAUCUAAGUAGCUGCAGGAAGAGAAAGCAAAAGCGAUUGCCUUAGUAGCGGCGAGCGAAACGGCAGAAGGGCAAACCGAAGAGUUUACUCUUCGGGGUUGUAGGACUGCAAUGUGGACUCAAAGAUUAUAGAAGAAUGAUUUGGGAAGAUCAGCCAAAGAGAGUAAUAGCCUCGUAUUUAAAAUAGUCUUUGUACUUAGCAGUAUCCUGAGUACGGCGGGACACGUGAAAUCCCGUCGGAAUCUGGGAGGACCAUCUCCCAACCCUAAAUACUCCCUAGUGACCGAUAGUGAACCAGUACCGUGAGGGAAAGGUGAAAAGCACCCCGGGAGGGGAGUGAAAUAGAACCUGAAACCGUGUGCCUACAACAAGUUCGAGCCCGUUAAUGGGUGAGAGCGUGCCUUUUGUAGAAUGAACCGGCGAGUUACGUUAUGAUGCGAGGUUAAGUUGAAGAGACGGAGCCGUAGGGAAACCGAGUCUGAAUAGGGCGCCUUAGUAUCAUGACGUAGACCCGAAACCAUGUGACCUACCCAUGAGCAGGUUGAAGGUGCGGUAAGACGCACUGGAGGACCGAACCAGGGCACGUUGAAAAGUGCUUGGAUGACUUGUGGGUAGCGGAGAAAUUCCAAACGAACUUGGAGAUAGCUGGUUCUCUCCGAAAUAGCUUUAGGGCUAGCGUCGACAUUAGAGAUUCUUGGAGGUAGAGCACUGUUUGGGUGAGGGGUCCAUCCCGGAUUACCAAUCUCAGAUAAACUCCGAAUGCCAAUGAAUUAUGGUCGGCAGUCAGACUGCGAGUGCUAAGAUCCGUAGUCGAAAGGGAAACAGCCCAGACCACCAGCUAAGGUCCCAAAAUAAUUGUUAAGUGGAAAAGGAUGUGGGGUUGCACAGACAACUAGGAUGUUAGCUUAGAAGCAGCUAUUCAUUCAAAGAGUGCGUAAUAGCUCACUAGUCGAGUGACCCUGCGCCGAAAAUGUACCGGGGCUAAAACAAUUUACCGAAGCUGUGGAUACCUUUAUAGGUAUGGUAGGAGAGCGUUCUAUGUGUGAUGAAGGUAUACCGUGAGGAGUGCUGGAACGCAUAGAAGUGAGAAUGCCGGUAUGAGUAGCGAAAGACAGGUGAGAAUCCUGUCCACCGUAAGACUAAGGUUUCCAGGGGAAGGCUCGUCCGCCCUGGGUUAGUCGGGACCUAAGGAGAGACCGAAAGGUGUAUCCGAUGGACAACAGGUUGAUAUUCCUGUACUAGAGUAUGUAGUGAUGGAGGGACGCAGUAGGCUAACUAAAGCAGACGAUUGGAAGAGUCUGUCUAAGCAGUGAGGUGUGAAUUGAGUCAAAUGCUUAAUUCUAUAACAUUGAGCUGUGAUGGGGAGCGAAGUUUAGUAGCGAAGUUAGUGACGUCACACUGCCAAGAAAAGCUUCUAGCGUUUAAACAUACUCUACCCGUACCGCAAACCGACACAGGUAGUCGAGGCGAGUAGCCUCAGGUGAGCGAGAGAACUCUCGUUAAGGAACUCGGCAAAAUGACCCCGUAACUUCGGGAGAAGGGGUGCUGACUUAAAGUCAGCCGCAGUGAAUAGGCCCAAGCAACUGUUUAUCAAAAACACAGCUCUCUGCUAAAUCGUAAGAUGAUGUAUAGGGGGUGACGCCUGCCCGGUGCUGGAAGGUUAAGAGGAGUGCUUAGCGUAAGCGAAGGUAUGAAUUGAAGCCCCAGUAAACGGCGGCCGUAACUAUAACGGUCCUAAGGUAGCGAAAUUCCUUGUCGGGUAAGUUCCGACCCGCACGAAAGGCGUAAUGAUUUGGGCACUGUCUCAACGAGAGACUCGGUGAAAUUUUAGUACCUGUGAAGAUGCAGGUUACCCGCGACAGGACGGAAAGACCCCAUGGAGCUUUACUGCAGUUUGAUAUUGAGUGUCUGUACCACAUGUACAGGAUAGGUAGGAGUCUAAGAGAUCGGGACGCCAGUUUCGAAGGAGACGCUGUUGGGAUACUACCCUUGUGUUAUGGCCACUCUAACCCAGAUAGGUGAUCCCUAUCGGAGACAGUGUCUGACGGGCAGUUUGACUGGGGCGGUCGCCUCCUAAAAGGUAACGGAGGCGCCCAAAGGUUCCCUCAGAAUGGUUGGAAAUCAUUCGCAGAGUGUAAAGGUAUAAGGGAGCUUGACUGCGAGAGCUACAACUCGAGCAGGGACGAAAGUCGGGCUUAGUGAUCCGGUGGUUCCGUAUGGAAGGGCCAUCGCUCAACGGAUAAAAGCUACCCUGGGGAUAACAGGCUUAUCUCCCCCAAGAGUUCACAUCGACGGGGAGGUUUGGCACCUCGAUGUCGGCUCGUCGCAUCCUGGGGCUGUAGUCGGUCCCAAGGGUUGGGCUGUUCGCCCAUUAAAGCGGCACGCGAGCUGGGUUCAGAACGUCGUGAGACAGUUCGGUCCCUAUCCGUCGCGGGCGUAGGAAAUUUGAGAGGAUCUGCUCCUAGUACGAGAGGACCAGAGUGGACUUACCGCUGGUGUACCAGUUGUCUUGGCAAAGGCAUCGCUGGGUAGCUAUGUAGGGAAGGGAUAAACGCUGAAAGCAUCUAAGUGUGAAACCCACCUCAAGAUGAGAUUUCCCAUGAUUAUAUAUCAGUAAGAGCCCUGAGAGAUGAUCAGGUAGAUAGGUUAGAAGUGGAAGUGUGGCGACACAUGUAGCGGACUAAUACUAAUAGCUCGAGGACUUAUCCA
rnacentral:rRNA from 1 species